CUCUCUCUCACUCUCUCUCUUAAAUCAAUAUUUUCUUUUACGGCUGUUUCUAUCUUCUUCAAGAGGCUAUGGAGUAAUUGUUUGACAUUCGCCCUUGGCUUUGACGGUAGCCUUUGAAUCAUCCCGGAAUUGUCUAGGAUGAUAACUACGAAGGCUUGUUUCUCAAAAACUUUUGCAGUGGCCGCCUAGGAGCUUUUGCUUUCGCCAGGCGUGAGAGUUAGUGCUGCUUAAUCUUUCCUUGGAUGUCUGAGCUAGCUUUCUCUAAUUGCAUUGACAUCUUCGUUUUUUAUAUCCCUUUUUUUUGACGUGAUUACUUUUACAUGUUUGAUUUAUAGCAAAAUUGCUUUAGGAGUUUUUCUUUUAUUGCUUGUUCACCAACUAAAUGGAAUGCUUCAAGUGGUAGAUUUUGGGACAAAACGUCUGCCCCCUUUAGCAGUGAUCUUGUUUGAAAGGUAACCAAAUGAUGGGGUCUUUGAGGACUUAACCAUGAUGCGGACCGUACAGCUUUUGUUAGCUGCUGGGGAUAAAUCUUGGUUUCUGAUGGUUAUUCUAUAUCCGGUAAGAAAGAUCAUGGUGAGGAUGUUCAAAAAAUUUACCAAACCAUGCAAUCCAAAUCAAACCCAAACAAAUUGGUAAUUUUUUUUUUUUUGGAUUAUGGGCUUUUUGGUAGUUUGGCGGAUUUUUUAAUUCGUGUGAAUUUGUUAAU